GACGAACACUGGCGGCGUGCUUAACACAUGCAAGUGGAGGGAUGAAGCACCUUCGGGUGUGAAUUAGCGGCGAACGGGUGAGGAACACGUGAGAAAUCUGCCUUCAACACUGGGAUAACUCCGGGAAACCGGGGCUAAUACCGGAUAUGAAAUCUGCGGGCAUCCGCGGAUUUGGAAAGUUUUUCGGUUGAAGAUGAUCUCGCGGCCUAUCAGCUUGUUGGUGAGGUAAUGGCUCACCAAGGCGACGACGGGUAGCCGGCCUGAGAGGGCGACCGGCCACACUGGGACUGAGACACGGCCCAGACUCCUACGGGAGGCAGCAGUGGGGAAUAUUGCGCAAUGGGCGAAAGCCUGACGCAGCAACGCCGCGUGAGGGAUGAAGGCCUUCGGGUUGUAAACCUCUUUUAGCAGGGAAGAAGCGAAAGUGACGGUACCUGCAGAAAAAGCACCGGCUAACUACGUGCCAGCAGCCGCGGUAAUACGUAGGGUGCAAGCGUUAUCCGGAAUUAUUGGGCGUAAAGAGCUCGUAGGCGGUUUGUCGCGUCUGCUGUGAAAAUCUGAGGCUCAACCUCGGACUUGCAGUGGGUACGGGCAGACUAGAGUGCAGUAGGGGAGAAGGGAAUUCCUGGUGUAGCGGUGGAAUGCGCAGAUAUCAGGAGGAACACCAAUGGCGAAGGCACUUCUCUGGGCUGUAACUGACGCGGAGGAGCGAAAGCGUGGGGAGCGAACAGGAUUAGAUACCCUGGUAGUCCACGCCGUAAACGUUGGGAACUAGAUGUAGGGUCCAUUCCACGGAUUCUGUGUCGCAGCUAACGCAUUAAGUUCCCCGCCUGGGGAGUACGGCCGCAAGGCUAAAAAUCAAAGGAAUU
rnacentral:rRNA from 1 species